AACAGUCAACUCAGAACUGGCACGGACCGGGGGAAUCCGCACUGUGCUAAUUAAAACAAAGCAUUGCGAUGGCCGCUGGUCGGUGUUGACGCAAUGUGAUUUCUGCCCAGUGCUCUGAAUGUCAACGUGAAGAGAUUCAUCAAAGCGCGGGUAAACGGCGGGAGUAACUAUGACUCUCUUUAGUGAAGUAAAGUCCGGGGGACUUGGCGUUCCCUGCCUCAGAACAGCUGUACCAGGUCUGCAGCUGGCCAGGUUCGGGCGACUGCAAACAUCCGAUCAGCCCACCUGUGCCCAGGUUGCCCGCUGCCGCCUUAUAAAGGAGGCAAUAAGGCAUGCGGAGCACUUGUCCAUUUAUAAAGGCACAGAGCUGCGGACCAGAGACGCAUGCUUCAAGUUCUGGGCAGGGGAGCUGCAUCGGAGUGCCGACGGUGCAGCUCUGGCAGAAUGUAAGAGGGUUCCC
rnacentral:ncRNA from 1 species